rnacentral:misc_RNA from 1 species
CUUUGGAUCACAACAAAAUUCUUUGCUACAAUAAUUACACUUGCCUUUAAUUUCGCCCUUAGUAUUUGUGAACUUAGUGAAGUGAUCCUAAACUAGAGACCUUGGUCUAAUUGGCUUUCGCUUCACAACUUCUUUUUUAUUUUGAUUUUGAAUUAGAUGUAUCUGCAGCCUCAGCUUCACUUUGAUUAGAAUCAGUAGUACUUUUAGUUUUUGGAUCUUCUUGCCCACUAAAAGAAUCCAUUUGGAGUAAAUGGUGGCGAGAUAGGUAAUUUUGGA